rnacentral:rRNA from 1 species
AGCGCCCUACGGGAGGCAGCAGUGAGGAAUAUUGGUCAAUGGGCGCAAGCCUGAACCAGCCAAGUCGCGUGAGGGAUGACGGUCCUAUGGGUUGUAAACCUCUUUUGUCGGGGAGCAAGGCCCGCCACGUGUGGCGGGAAGGAGAGUACCCGAAGAAAAAGCAUCGGCUCACUCCGUGCCAGCAGCCGCGGUAAUACGGAGGAUGCGAGCGUUAUCCGGAUUUAUUGGGUUUAAAGGGUGCGUAGGCGGAAGGUUAAGUCAUCGGUCAACUGUCGGUGCUCACCACCGGCCUGCCGUUGAAACUG